GAAAAUGUAGCUCAGUGGUGGAGCUUCUGUUUAGCAUGCAUGAGACCCUAGGUCUGAUCCUUAGCACUUCCA
rnacentral:tRNA from 1 species